rnacentral:snoRNA from 1 species
CCAACGUGGAUACCCCAAAACGUCACUCUCUCCAGACUCUGUCCAGGUGGGAGCAUAAGGCUCUGCCCAAUGAUGUACAGUCCCAUUCCACAAUGCUGGAGAUGAAGUUGGGCCUCAAGCCUGCAUCUGCAUAUCUACGGCUUCUCAGAGUUUGAUGGACAAUGCCUAAGGAGACAAAUCAUGUAGGACACAAAG